rnacentral:lncRNA from 10 species
AAAAGUCAAGGCCACACUAUCUGGCUUUGUGUGAUUGGCUCCUCUGGAUUUCAGCAGGAUUAUCACCCCAUUAUGUUGUCUUUCCCAGCACAUCACAUCAGAUGCACACGAUGCCAAGCUGUACCACUUCUAGCGAUGAUGCUACAGUUUCAUCAUUCAGUAAAGUGAUCUGAGACUACGUUUUCAACCCUGUACAGGACCAGCUGAAUAUUAGGACUCAUGAGUGAGGACAAAGUUGAUGGGAGUCAGGCAUGCCUAGACCUCACCAGCAGAGGUCAGAAGAAGACAAGAAGUACAAAAAGAAACGUGUCUUUUUACAGAACACCCUGACAUUGGAAAGUCUAUCAGUCAUGUAUCUUGAAUAAGAUUUCAUACUACAUUAAAUUAAGAUUUUUUUGAUAUAAAUAGGUUCCAAUAUCCUAUACACCAUGCAAAAGAUUGCACUACAUGAAGGGAUAGCUGAAUCUAUGAAAAUUCAUAGUUUUACAUAUCUAUUCUUCCUUAUUAAAAUCAUCAAUAAACUCAAAGAAACAAUAUAAUCCAUUAUUAAUACAGUUCUCUACAGAGUAAAUAUAAUGUUUGUUUAUGUGCUUAAGUGCCUGUUUGGGGGAAACCAAAGCACUUAGUAAACACCAAUACUAAUCCUCUUAGGAAGGACUGUAUACCACUCUCCCUAUUUUAAACAGAGAACUGCCUUAUGUAAAAUAAUACAUUGGCAAAGCUGGAAGGAAAGCUGUGAUUACCCGACUAUGCACUAGUGUACAAGUCUUCCCCAAUGGAAAUAAGAGCAUGCUUCAAGUGUAUGCUCUAUAAAGACUGCAGACCAGCAAGGCUAUCAUUUCUAGACUUUAUUCCAUUUUAAAAAUGUAAACUUUUUUUAAUUCAUUUCCUGGAAAUGGUAAAACUUGGCUACUAGGACUAGGCAGUCACCACAGAACACAAGAACUUAACUCAAACCUGAAGAACUUGGGGGAAAUCCUGAUAAACUAAGAGGCUUCCAGCCUUAGGCUGUUUUGCAUGUGGCUAAGUUCUCAUUCCACUUUAAAGAAACCAAAACUGUAAAAGGCAAGUCAUGCAAUAUGAGUGCAGUUUCCGUAAAAAAGGCCUUAGGGAAACCCAAUCAACAGCCUCUGAAUCCUGUCCCCACCCCCAAAUAAAAGACAAGUGAAUAUAAAGUUAUAUCUUAUUUUAAAAUAAAUUACUAAGGUACGCAUAGAUCAUUUUUUAGUGAUUCCCCAUUAAAUUAAACUUUCUGGAGAAAACAAUCAAUUAAUUAUAAGCCUAACUGCAUUAAGAGGUCAUUUACUAUAUAGGCACAUCUCUUAAAAAACUAAUAAAAAAUUUUGAAAAACAAUAUUCCUCAAGCAUGCAUCCUCCUGUG